UACGUAGGGCGCAAGCGUUGUCCGGAAUUAUUGGGCGUAAAGAGCUCGUAGGCGGUUUGUCGCGUCGGCUGUGAAAACCCGAGGCUCAACCUCGGGCCUGCAGUCGAUACGGGCAGACUAGAGUGUGGUAGGGGAGACUGGAAUUCCUGGUGUAGCGGUGAAAUGCGCAGAUAUCAGGAGGAACACCGGUGGCGAAGGCGGGUCUCUGGGCCGAUACUGACGCUGAGGAGCGAAAGCGUGGGGAGCAAACAGG
rnacentral:rRNA from 1 species